GACGAACGCUGGCGGCGUGCCUAAUACAUGCAAGUCGAGCGAAGGGGCGGCUGGGUGAGUAACGCGUGGGUAACCUGACCUUAAGUCUGGGAUACCAUUUGGAAACAGAUGCUAAUACCAGAUCCUUAAGGUUGGAUCUGUGAUGAAUUAGCUAGUUGGUAAGGUAACGGCUUACAAAGGCGAUGAUGCAUAGCCGAGUGGAGAGACUGAUCGGCCACAUUGGGACGGAGACACGGCCCAAACUCCUACGGGAGGCAGCAGUAGGGAAUCUUCCACAAUGGACGAAAGUCUGAUGGAGCAACGCCGCGUGAGUGAAGAAGGUUUUCGGAUCGUAAAGCUCUGUUGUUGGUGAAGCGGUAAUCAACCAGAAAGUCACGGCUAACUACGUGCCAGCAGCCGCGGUAAUUC
rnacentral:rRNA from 1 species